UUAAAACCCACCCAGUGCCACCCCUGCCAUGGCAGGGACACCUUCCACUGUCCCAGACUUCUCCAAGCCCUGUCCAGCCUGGCCUUGGGCACUGCCAGGGAUCCAGGGGCAGCCACAGCUGCUCUGGGCACCCUGUGCCAGGGCCUGCCCACCCUGCCAGGGAACAAUUCCUAAUUCCCAAUCUCCCAUCCAUCCCUGCCCUCUGGCACUGGGAAGCCAUUCCCUGUAUCCUGUCUCUCCAUCCCUUGUCCCCAGUCCCUCUCCAGCUCUCCUGGAGCCCCUUUAGGCCCUGCAAGGGGCUCCGAGCUCUCCCUGGAGCCUUCUCCUCUCCAGGUGAGCACCCCCAGCUCUCACAGAGAUGAAGAUCCUGGUGUUGAAGAUAUAAAAAAAUGAGAGACAUUAUGGGAAGUCCCAGAAGCCGCCCUAUGAAGAGAUUUCCCAUUGUCUGUGUACUGGAAUUCAUUCCAUCACCAAAACUCCCUCAUGGAGCAAAGGCAGGUUGUCUCCAGAGGCAGAAUUCCAGGAGAACUGGCUAAUCCCACGUGUGCCUGUGUGUGAGACACUGACAAGACCAAUAAAUAAUGCAUGGAGCCACACACUGAACGAUGAGACCCAAUGAAAUAUUGAAGAGCUGCUGUUCCAGGAGCAAGUCUGUUCCGAGCCUGGAACUAGCAGGAUCUGCCUCAGGAGCAGGAAUGAUCCCAUAUUUAAGGCUGGAUUAGAAUGCACACACACAGCAGGGCAAAAUGAAGAUUUUCCAGGCAGCUUAAAUCUGACACCUCUUAAUUUUUAACUGCUUGACUUUGUGACCUUGGGAAUGGUUUCAGGUAAUGUUAUUUUUGUUAUAUUUUAUUUUUUUCCCCCUGACUGUUAUUUCUGAGAGUUGUUUCAAUUUUUGGAGGAGGCAUCAGACCCCUGUUUUACAGGUGGGAGCAGAGACAGGAAAUCCCUGGCUGGGAGCUGAAGGGCAGCUCAAAAACUUGAGGAAAAUAUAAAAAAAUGGAUGAGGUAUUGGUGUGGAAAAGGGAUGUUAGUCUUUGUUUUUAUAGACAACUUCUCUGUCCACCCUUGACAAAUAGAGGCUUAAAAGCCAUCAGAACCAUGGCACAGAACCUCUUUAAAUUCUUAAUCACAUCUGCACUUUUUUGUGUUAAAUAAAUAUAUAUCCCUGUUUCCACCAGGACACAAAGCCUGACAGGAAUUCCAGGAGAUGGAAUUCUUUUCCCUGCAGUUCUGUGGGGCUUCAGGAUGUGCUCAUUUUUAAAACCAGAGAAGACUCCUGCUUGUUUGGGGUUGUAGAACUCCCACAGUGCUUGGGCUCACUAAUAAUCUGAAUAUAAUUUGUCUGAAUAACCAGCCCCUUCUCCUGCCUGCACCUUCUCAGGUGACAAAUGCUCCUACAUGGCUCAGAGAUUGCUCUUCAUUUUUUCAGAUAAAUAAAGGUCUAUGAGGAAACAUCA